UGAAUCCGCGCGGGAGAGCCCUCAGCCGCUGAGCUGGGGCGCCGAAGGAGCAAGUCCCUCCCUUGAAUCUCUCAGGCCCAGAUACCGCGCGGGCGAG
rnacentral:ncRNA from 2 species